AGACUGUGGUCUAGACAACAUCUCAAAAAGUCCUUGUAUCUCUCCCAAGCAUCGUACAUGCUCUCAUCGUCCAUUUGCACAAAAGAAAAAAUGUCAUUUCUCAGCUU
rfam:Ricinus communis cultivar Hale ctg_1100012359244, whole genome shotgun sequence.